GUUCUUUGUCGUGCUCUUCGCGAUAACGCGUAUAGUGCGCGAUUCGCAUUGGACAAGCGGCGCACGCGCCUUCUGUAACGCAUGAAACAGGAAGAACGACGGUAGAUAUUUUUCUUUGGAUCGAGCGUGACCGCAUGUUACGCCGUUUCGCCACGUUUUAUCGGCUUAAGAUCAAUGUGUCAAAGUUAUGCCACGCAUUAGUAUCCGAAGGUGAUUCGAGCUGGACGUUAUCCAACGACCGCACAGAGAGGGAAAACCGCAGACAACUCGAUCGACCGGCAGAUUCUAGUUACGCGACAGGCUGAUUGCUGGCUGGUUUAAGAGUCUGGUUAAUAAUUACAAGGUGUAAGUACGCGUUGCCAGUUGUGAUUUUCGAGCGGCCAGAACGAGUGCAAACAGACGUGUAUAAUCAUCGAAAUGAUAGUCUACAUCGGUACGAUGCGAUGGCUAUUUUCACUGAAACGCAGACGAAGCGGAACGAUAGGUGCAAAAAUUAUAUAAUCUGACGAAGGAGAAAUCUUUAAAAACACUUGCGUUAAAUAAGAAUUACUUUCACCCCUAUGUGUAAUUUUAAUGUUAUCAUUUGGAAAUUGAAACGGGAAUUAUAGCGAAUCGAUAAAAGCAAUGAUGCACUUAGAUAUUCUUAAGUUUAA
rnacentral:misc_RNA from 1 species